rnacentral:lncRNA from 1 species
CAUUACAAUAACUGUUAAAUGCCUAUUUUGUGUCGAGACAGAACAAAAGCGAUUAGUGUUGAUGUAUACUUCAAAAUAAUGGUGAUGAUUUUUCCUGUAUUUACUUACACUAACUCGUUUCUCCCAACAGAAACUAGUGGAUGGAGUAGGAAUGGGCAUGAGAUGCUAAACCAUGGCCAGGAGUGUGGGGACUCCUCUGCUGCAAACCAGAAAGGUGAUACAGGCUGGAGUGCUUUAUCAGUCCUGGGAAUGAAAUGUAACUAAGAAGGUGGAAGAUUACUCCCAGAAGAUGGAGGGAAGCUUCUCCUCUGCAUCAAGUGACACCUCCUGUUUUCAGCCAGAUUUAAAACCCCCCUCCUGCACAGCUUCCCUCACCUGGGCAGAAUCAGAGCAUGGGAACACCAAUAAAGCAGAAUUGUCCCAGUGACCA